rfam:Danio rerio chromosome 4, GRCz11 reference primary assembly.
GGCGCUGUGGCUUAGUUGGUCAAAGUGCCUGUCUAGUAAACAGGAGAUCCUGUGUUCAAAUCACAGCAGUGCCU